UACGAAGGGGGCUAGCGUUGCUCGGAAUCACUGGGCGUAAAGGGUGCGUAGUCGGGUCUUUAAGUCAGGGGUGAAAUCCUGGAGCUCAACUCCAGAACUGCCUUUGAUACUGAAGAUCUUGAGUUCGGGAGAGGUGAGUGGAACUGCGAGUGUAGAGGUGAAAUUCGUAGAUAUUCGCAAGAACACCAGUGGCGAAGGCGGCUCACUGGCCCGAUACUGACGCUGAGGUGCGAAAGCGUGGGGAGCAAACAGG
rnacentral:rRNA from 1 species